UGCCUUGUAGCGGCGAGUGAAGCGGCAAAAGCUCAAAUUUGAAAUCUGGCUCUUUCAGAGUCCGAGUUGUAAUUUGAAGAAGGUAUCUUUGGGUCUGGCUCUUGUCUAUGUUUCUUGGAACAGAACGUCACAGAGGGUGAGAAUCCCGUGCGAUGAGAUGAUCCAGGCCUAUGUAAAGUUCCUUCGAAGAGUCGAGUUGUUUGGGAAUGCAGCUCUAAGUGGGUGGUAAAUUCCAUCUAAAGCUAAAUAUUGGCGAGAGACCGAUAGCGAACAAGUACAGUGAUGGAAAGAUGAAAAGAACUUUGAAAAGAGAGUGAAAAAGUACGUGAAAUUGUUGAAAGGGAAGGGCUUGAGAUCAGACUUGGUAUUUUGUAUGUUACUUCUUCGGGGGUGGCCUCUACAGUUUAUCGGGCCAGCAUCAGUUUGGGCGGUAGGAGAAUUGCGUUGGAAUGUGGCACGGCUUCGGUUGUGUGUUAUAGCCUUCGUCGAUACUGCCAGCCUAGACUGAGGACUGCGGUUUAUACCUAGGA
rnacentral:rRNA from 1 species